rnacentral:rRNA from 1 species
AMCCUWUUAUWUUUWAAUUUUYUUAGGUWGKAAAAAUUUAAAUUUAAACCAUAAUAAACUGGCGGCAUUUUAUCUUAUUAGAGAAACUUGUUUAUUAAUCGAUAACCCGCGUUAACUCUCACUUAAAUUAACAUUUUAUAUACCCCCAUCUUAAAAAUUUUAAAAAACUUUUUUAUUUUAAAAAAUUUAUAUAAUAAGUUAGGUCACGGUGUAAGCUAUAUUUAAGAUUUAAAUGGGUUACAUUAAAAAAAAUUUAACAAAAAAAAAAUUAAAUUUAAUUUUAAAAAGGAUUUAAAAGUAAUUAUUAUAAUAUUCAUUAAAAAUGUGC